CCCAGCAGUAGUCAGCCACUCAAGAUGUCUGUGCUUGAGCAGGUGUUACACUGCUGGUAGAGCAACACUCUUAUCUGGACUAGUUUCAGUCUGCUCUGUUCUAGAGUGGAAUGGAACCAGGCCCCCAGCAAGAGGGGUGCUUCCUUGAGAGUGGAUCAGUAGCCUAAUCUGCUGUUGGUCCUAGUCUGGGAGCAUACAGU